rnacentral:lncRNA from 1 species
UCUGGAUAUUGAUCUUGAUCCAACGUACAUAUAGAAAACAUUUAUCUUUGUUUAUUGUUCUAGCAGCAUGCAUGAUACAUAAACACCAUGAGUAAGUAGCAUAAUAACCACACAAUAAUAUAUAGAAAUGGCAUAAUAACCACACACUUAAUAUAUAGUAAAAAUACAUAUAGGGAGAAGGGGAAACUAUAUAAAUUUAUUCGAUUCACCAAUACACUACCCAUAGUCCCAUAUAGAUCAGGAAAAGUUAUUAGUAAUAUUCACCAUACAACCACAUAUUCAUAUGCAAUCAGCGAUGGUGAUGGUGAUGGUGUGGAGGGUGACCAUGUGGCCCAGGAGGACUACCAAGUGGAGGUGGCUGAGAACCAGGUGGAGGUGUUGGGCCUUGUGGCGGGUUAGGAGGUGGAUGAACAUGCGGCGGAUGAGCUGGUCCGGGAGGAUGUGGACCCGGUGGUCCAGGAUGGUGAGAACCCGAGCCUGCCGGUGGAGGUGGAUUGCGCAUAUUUCUCGCAAUAGUAGCUUUCUUCGUUUUUCAGCGAUGAGACGAACCACACUUGUUUUUACCUUAUGGAAAUAUAAUUGGUGAACCAAUGAAUCAAAACAACGACUAUAUUUGUAGGACUCAAGAGAAAACUCUAGUCUUUUACUAUCUAUCGGUCAAACCACAAGUAGUUGGGUAACUAACAUUCAUACAUAUAUCAUGAUGGUUAAAAAAAGCUUUAACAUGUCACCUGGUCAUGCGUGUAGUAACA